CAGGAUUCUUUGCUGCUUUUACGGAUCCAGACUAACACGGCUACCCCUCUGAUACUUGACAUUCUCAUAAGAGGGAUGGUCUUGGGGGUAAGCACUGACCUGGGAUUUGGAAACCUGCCUUCAAUUUCCUGCUCUGCUACAGACUCCCCCGAUGACCUUAGUCAAGCCACUUGAGCUCUCCAUGCCUCGGUUUUCCCAGCUGUAAAACGAUGGAUGAUUCUGACCUUUGUAAAGUACUUUGAGACCUACUGAUGAAAAGCACUAUAGCAGAUCUAGAGAUUAUUAUUCCUUGCCUUGUCGAGUUAGACUGACUGUGGCAGGGAUGGCCUCUUACUGUGUAUGUGUACAGUACCUCGGACAAUGAGGUCUUGAUUUCAGUUGGAGGCUGUAGACGUUGCUGUAAUACAAACACAACUGUGCUUGGAACAGUGUUGCUAACACCAUUCCAGCGGUAGUGGGAAUGGAAACUUGCUAUCUAUGGUGAACUGGACCAUUGCUUUUGUUUAAAUAUCUCAAGUGCCAUAAACAUAUCGACUGGGACAGAGUCUUCUCUUAAGAAUCAGGAGCGGAAGAGAUAAAACGCACACACCUGGAGAUCAAGAGAGGCCGAUGUCAGAUUUUUUUACCGGAUUCUAGUGUCACUGCUAUAUUUUGCAAUAGUAUAAACUGCAGUAACUGCCCAUGAGAGGCAGUAGAGUUUGUAGGUCUUGUGGUUUCAGAGAAGAGCUUGAAGCUAGAAGGUAAAAACCCAACCCCCCCUUUUUUUAAAGAGCCCCUCAUGAUUUUUUAGACCAUUUUCAUGAAUUUUUUCAUUGUAAUCCCUGUCUUCCCCCCAAUGGUAAAGUCCCUAUGUUUGCUAUCAGUUCCUUAAGAUCAUCAUCAGAAAGCAGCAAUCCUGACUCUAUCUGCUUGCAAGAUCCUCUCCCUUCCACCCUUAUUUUGUUCCUUGGCUUCCUACAGAGGAAAGAAACCCCUGGGAAUGCACAGCUUUGGGUCUGAUGCCGGCCUUUCUGUGAUGGCAGCAGCAGAUGAGGCUCAUGGAGCUCUUUGCUCGUAAGGGGAUGUGGCGCUGAGCUCACCUAUCCUGCCAUUGUGCUAGGUGGCUGCUUUGAACGUGCUGUCUGCAUUGGUUUUAGUCCCUGCAAACCCCCGGAGGAGGUGGAAGCCUCCUGUAUUGGGCCAGCUUAUGAUGCCGUAGGUACAAGGUAGAAACAAUCCCCUGCCCCCAUAUUAUAUGUAUUACAGUAGUGUCUGGAGGCUUCAGUUGAGCCUGGGGCACCACUGUUAAAGCGUACAAUCUAAACAAAACAAGGGGUGGCAAGGGAAACUGAGGCACAAAGAGGGGCCGCAUGACUUGCCCAAGGUCCCACAGGGUUCGUCUCACAGCACUAGCUAUGCACAGGCUUGAAUCCAUCCAGCGCGCGGGACAGUAGCAGAGAAGACACUGCAGCGAACACAUCCGAGUGUGUGGCUGGCUCGCAAGCCUGUUCUCGGGCAUGCGCUGCCCUGUCUUCGCUCCUGUUGUUACCUGUGCUGGCAGGAGUCGGGCUGGCUUGGGUGGCUAGCCCAUGCACAGCUGUCGCUGUGUAUACGGACCCACAGUGAGUCAGGGGCCAAGCAGGGAAUUGACCCCUCUGGCUCCCAGUUCUAUCCUGUGUCCGCUGAACUAUGCAAAGUGCUGGAUGCUCAGCAUCCCUUCAUGUUGCUCUGCUGCAGCCCCGGGCCCUGGAGUAGGCAUCGAGAGGAAGCGAGGAAAUUCUGUGCUCUUGGUUGGUAAAAGUGGUGGGGUCGGGCUGUGACUCAUGUUCUGCUGCCUGCAAGCAGGAGUUCUCCAAGGAGCGGUUGCUUCUGGGGAAAGCUGUAAAAACUGAAUGGAAAGGUGGUGGUUGCCUCCCUGCCUUCCUCACCUCUCAUCCUGACACACACACACACACAUAUUAUGCUCCGCUGCGGUUUCCUUCCUUAAAUAUUGCAUGAGCCGACAUACGUGCAUCGGUGGAAAUGUGAUCUAACCAGAAUGUCGUCUCUCUAUAGUGAUCCUCUGCCUGCCGCACCUGGCUGCUUGGAUCAGAGGCCUUGCCUGUGUUGCAAUUUCAGCCAUCUCUGUAUUGUGUCAGCGCAACUGCCCCUAACGCGGAGGGGUUUUGCCCUGGCACAAAUGGUGCUGCACCAGGGUGAAUGGGCAGUGGCAGCUGAAACCCCAGCAUAGACAAGCCCGAGGCUUGGUUCUCCGGAGAACCCAGAUAGUCCCGCAGCCAGAAUGUCGUGGCCAGCUGCAGACUCCUAUUCUGGCGUAGUGGGCAGUAUUGUGGGUCUGAGAGGGCUGUGUUUUGAGCCAGUAAAGCAACCUGCUCUGUUGCACAUGGGAGGUGAGGAGCCCUCAGUUUUCCAGCAAAAAUAGCCCCACUGGGCUGGGUCAGUCUCAUCUCAUGUCACAGCAGCCAAGCACGCGUUUGUCUUCCCCCAGUGCAGCCGAGCAAGAAGCCCAGCUUUGUUUUUCCUUUCUGGCAGGAGGUCACUCUGAAUUCCUGAGCUGGCACCAAAUGACUGUAAUGCUGCCAACCCCGCCCUGCCCUGGGGGGGAUACACCCACGCUGGACAUGCAGUCUAGGCAGCGGAGUCAGAGCAAUUGGAUUCCAUGCUACAGGGCGUGAGAUGAUUGUCCAGCCCAUUUUCUGCAGCAGCAGUUACUGCCAGCCCUACAAUGCCACGUUUAUAGACACAACAGCAGUUGAAAACUUGCUUUUAAAGGGGAAUGACUCAUUCACAGGCAUCCCGAUCUGGGCAAACAAACAGGCUCCUCCGUCCGCUGCCAGCGCCGGCUUCUGUCAGGCCUUUCUUCUGAUGCUGCUGCUUCUCUGUCUCAUGCAAAACAAAUGCUCCGGCCUUGUGUAAAUGUAAAUAAUUCUCCUGCAUUUAUCUGCCUCUUUCCCUGCCAGCCAAAAUAUAAGACCCCCUUUGUUCCAGCAAG